AGUCAAGUGAAUAAGUGCAUCAGGCGGAUGCCUUGGCGAUGAUAGGCGACGAAGGACGUGUAAGCCUGCGAAAAGCGCGGGGGAGCUGGCAAUAAAGCUAUGAUUCCGCGAUGUCCGAAUGGGGAAACCCACUGCAUUCUGUGCAGUAUCCUAAGUUGAAUACAUAGGCUUAGAGAAGCGAACCCGGAGAACUGAACCAUCUAAGUACCCGGAGGAAAAGAAAUCAACCGAGAUUCCGCAAGUAGUGGCGAGCGAACGCGGAGAAGCCUGUACGUAAUAACUGUCGAGAUAGAAGAACAAGCUGGGAAGCUUGACCAUAGCGGGUGACAGUCCCGUAUUCGAAAUCUCAACAGCGGUACUAAGCGUACGAAAAGUAGGGCGGGACACGUGAAAUCCUGUCUGAAUAUGGGGGGACCAUCCUCCAAGGCUAAAUACUCAUCAUCGACCGAUAGUGAACCAGUACCGUGAGGGAAAGGCGAAAAGAACCCCGGGAGGGGAGUGAAACAGAACCUGAAACCUGAUGCAUACAAACAGUGGGAGUGCCCUAGUGGUGUGACUGCGUACCUUUUGUAUAAUGGGUCAACGACUUACAUUCAGUAGCGAGCUUAACCGGAUAGGGGAGGCGUAGGGAAACCGAGUCUUAAUAGGGCGAUGAGUUGCUGGGUGUAGACCCGAAACCGAGUGAUCUAUCCAUGGUCAGGUUGAAGGUGCCGUAACAGGUACUGGAGGACCGAACCCACGCAUGUUGCAAAAUGCGGGGAUGAGCUGUGGGUAGGGGUGAAAGGCUAAACAAACUCGGAGAUAGCUGGUUCUCCCCGAAAACUAUUUAGGUAGUGCCUCGAGCAAGACACUGAUGGGGGUAAAGCACUGUUAUGGCUAGGGGGUUAUUGCAACUUACCAACCCAUGGCAAACUCAGAAUACCAUCAAGUGGUUCCUCGGGAGACAGACAGCGGGUGCUAACGUCCGUUGUCAAGAGGGAAACAACCCAGACCGCCGGCUAAGGUCCCAAAUGAUAGAUUAAGUGGUAAACGAAGUGGGAAGGCACAGACAGCCAGGAUGUUGGCUUAGAAGCAGCCAUCAUUUAAAGAAAGCGUAAUAGCUCACUGGUCGAGUCGUCCUGCGCGGAAGAUGUAACGGGGCUCAAAUCUAUAACCGAAGCUGCGGAUGCCGGUUUACCGGCAUGGUAGGGGAGCGUUCUGUAGGCUGAUGAAGGUGCAUUGUAAAGUGUGCUGGAGGUAUCAGAAGUGCGAAUGUUGACAUGAGUAGCGAUAAAGCGGGUGAAAAGCCCGCUCGCCGAAAGCCCAAGGUUUCCUACGCAACGUUCAUCGGCGUAGGGUAAGUCGGCCCCUAAGGCGAGGCAGAAAUGCGUAGUCGAUGGGAAACAGGUUAAUAUUCCUGUACUUGAUUCAAAUGCGAUGUGGGGACGGAGAAGGUUAGGUUGGCAAGCUGUUGGAAUAGCUUGUUUAAGCCGGUAGGUGGAAGACUUAGGCAAAUCCGGGUUUUCUUAACACCGAGAAGUGAUGACGAGUGUCUACGGACACGAAGCAACCGAUACCACGCUUCCAGGAAAAGCCACUAAGCUUCAGUUUGAAUCGAACCGUACCGCAAACCGACACAGGUGGGCAGGAUGAGAAUUCUAAGGCGCUUGAGAGAACUCGGGAGAAGGAACUCGGCAAAUUGAUACCGUAACUUCGGGAGAAGGUAUGCCCUCUAAGGUUAAGGACUUGCUCCGUAAGCCCCGGAGGGUCGCAGAGAAUAGGUGGCUGCGACUGUUUAUUAAAAACACAGCACUCUGCCAACACGAAAGUGGACGUAUAGGGUGUGACGCCUGCCCGGUGCCGGAAGGUUAAUUGAAGAUGUGCAAGCAUCGGAUCGAAGCCCCGGUAAACGGCGGCCGUAACUAUAACGGUCCUAAGGUAGCGAAAUUCCUUGUCGGGUAAGUUCCGACCCGCACGAAUGGCGUAACGAUGGCCACACUGUCUCCUCCCGAGACUCAGCGAAGUUGAAGUGGUUGUGAAGAUGCAAUCUACCCGCUGCUAGACGGAAAGACCCCGUGAACCUUUACUGUAGCUUUGCAUUGGACUUUGAAGUCACUUGUGUAGGAUAGGUGGGAGGCUUGGAAGCAGAGACGCCAGUCUCUGUGGAGUCGUCCUUGAAAUACCACCCUGGUGUCUUUGAGGUUCUAACCCAGACCCGUCAUCCGGGUCGGGGACCGUGCAUGGUAGGCAGUUUGACUGGGGCGGUCUCCUCCCAAAGCGUAACGGAGGAGUUCGAAGGUUACCUAGGUCCGGUCGGAAAUCGGACUGAUAGUGCAAUGGCAAAAGGUAGCUUAACUGCGAGACCGACAAGUCGGGCAGGUGCGAAAGCAGGACAUAGUGAUCCGGUGGUUCUGUAUGGAAGGGCCAUCGCUCAACGGAUAAAAGGUACUCCGGGGAUAACAGGCUGAUUCCGCCCAAGAGUUCAUAUCGACGGCGGAGUUUGGCACCUCGAUGUCGGCUCAUCACAUCCUGGGGCUGUAGUCGGUCCCAAGGGUAUGGCUGUUCGCCAUUUAAAGUGGUACGUGAGCUGGGUUUAAAACGUCGUGAGACAGUUUGGUCCCUAUCUGCAGUGGGCGUUGGAAGUUUGACGGGGGCUGCUCCUAGUACGAGAGGACCGGAGUGGACGAACCUCUGGUGUACCGGUUGUAACGCCAGUUGCAUAGCCGGGUAGCUAAGUUCGGAAGAGAUAAGCGCUGAAAGCAUCUAAGCGCGAAACUCGCCUGAAGAUGAGACUUCCCUUGCGGUUUAACCGCACUAAAGGGUCGUUCGAGACCAGGACGUUGAUAGGUGGGGUGUGGAAGCGCGGUAACGCGUGAAGCUAACCCAUACUAAUUGCCCGUGAGGCUUGACUCU
rnacentral:rRNA from 1 species